GACGAACGCUGGCGGCGUGCCUAAUACAUGCAAGUCGAACGCAGUGGGGACGGGUGAGUAACACGUGGGUAACCUCCCAUCAGAGGGGAUAACCCUUGGAAACAGGUGCUAAACCGAUACUGAUGGAUGGACCCGCGGUGCAUGAGCUAGUUGGUGAGGUAACGGCUCACCAAGGCCACGAUGCAUAGCGGGCCUGAGAGGAUGAUCGGCCACACUGGAACUGAGACACGGCCCAGACUCCUACGGGAGGCAGCAGUGGGGAAUAUUGGGCAAUGGACGAAAGUCUGACCGAGCAACGCCGCGUGAGUGAAGAAGGUUUUCGGAUCGUAAAGCUCUGUUGUUAGAGAGGCGUUAUCUAACCAGAAAGCCACGGCUAACUACGUGCCAGCAGCCGCGGUAAUAC
rnacentral:rRNA from 1 species